AAUCCUUAGCUGCUUGCCGGCCGAGAUCAUCAGUGGACGUGGUGUGGGGACGACGUGUUGCUACACCGCAACAAAAAGAAGCGCCCCUCUUACUCGACCCCCCCCCCCCCACACACACACACACGGACACACAUAUAGAUAUUCGAAGAAAACCUGGAGAACACCAUGGUGCUGAACAAGUGGGCCGCGGUGACAAAAAGCGCCCCGCCGGCGGCAGGUUUGCGGCCACUGGCGCGCACGGUCUCGCCAAACCCGAAGCUUCGCCCGGCAGACUACAAAGUUCCCUACGUACUUCGCACCUUUAUCAAGGACCGACACUCGAGUGAGAUGCAGCACAUCGAGAACCGAGGCAUGUAUCGCGAAGAGCUCGCGAUCGAGCGGUCACGCUUUCCGCGCAUGCAGAAGACACUGACGAUUCAGACGGAUGGUUCGCUGAACGAGCGCGAGUUCGAGUUUGCGGUGCCGCCAGUAGUUAUGCUCUUUCAGGAUCGCCUCUCUGCCCAUCGGCAGCGCCAGGUUGCUCUUGCCAAAAUUGGCAAGCUGAAGCGUGCCAAAAGCUGGGAGAUGGCGGUUCGAGGCAAGGAGUCCCUGAACCCUGUGUGCAACGCGCUCGUGUUUCCGUAUUGUGUCCCCAAGAAGAUGCUGGUGCGGCCGCGCACCGUAGACCCACUAAGCGCCAAGAGUAUGGCCGAUAACCGCAAAAGUCGUGACGACUCGUCGUGAAUCGGUGACCGCAGGCACGGGCAUACGUGUUGGGCUCGCCUAUCCAUGGUGUAUGCAUUGCGUUGUCCCAGCCUGAAGGCGUGUGUUUCAGCAAGAGGAUGAAGGGGAAAAAGACAGAAAAAAGCGCACAGUUGGGCAGACUGGACCACGUGAAGGAGUCCGACCAUUAGUGGCAACGGUGGGUUGCUGCUGUUGCUGCUUCAGCUGCUUCUGCCUAUGCGCCGCUUCCUCGUCCUUGUGGAGUGCCGCUGCUUGCGCCUUGACGGGUUCGCCGGGCUCUCCGCCCAGCGCACGCGUACAUACAGUGCCACCUUUCCCACCACUAAACAGCGACGGACAUACGCACGUUCUUCCUCGUUGCCGCUCCUUGACUCGUUCGCUUCAUAUUUUUCUUUGCUUUGGUGCUUGCAUGCCGUCGAUCCGCAUUCAUGG
rnacentral:misc_RNA from 1 species